rnacentral:rRNA from 1 species
ACUGGGGGACUUGAGUACUGGAGAGGCAAGGGGAAUUCCACGUGUAGCGGUGAAAUGCGUAGAGAUGUGGAGGAAUACCAGUGGCGAAGGCGCCUUGCUGGACAGUGACUGACGCUGAGGCACGAAAGCGUGGGGAGCAAACAGGAUUAGAUACCCUGGUAGUCCACGCCGUAAACGAUGAGUGCUAGGUGUUGGGGGUUCAUCCCCUCAGUGCCGAAGGAAACCCAAUAAGCACUCCGCCUGGGGAGUACGGUCGCAAGACUGAAACUCAAAGGAAUUGACG